rnacentral:tRNA from 1 species
UGGAACAUAGCUCAGUUGGUAGAGCGCCCGUCUGAAUAGCGGGAAGUCCCUGGUUCGACCCCAGGUGUUCCAGCCA